rnacentral:misc_RNA from 1 species
GAUGAAGAACGCAGUGAAAUGCGAUACGUAAUGUGAAUUGCAGAAUUCAGUGAAUCUUCGAAUCUUUGAACGCAUAUUGCGCUCUCUGGUAUUCCGGAGAGCAUGCUUGUUUGAGUAUCAGUAAACACCUCAACUCCCUUUUCUUUUUUGAAAUGGGAGCUGGACUUGAGUGAUCCCAACACUUUUCUCACUGGAAAGUGGCGGGUCACUUGAAAUGCAGGUGCAGCUGGACUUUUCUCUGAGCUAUAAGCAUAUCUAUUUAGUCUGCCUAAAAAACAGAUUAUUACCUUUGCUGCAGCUAACAUAAAGGAGAUGAGUUCUUGUGCUGACUGAUGCAGGAUUCACAGAGACAGCUUUGCGGCUGACUUUGUAAACUCGAUCUCAAAUCAAGUAAGACUACCCGCUGAACUUAAGCAUAUCAAUAAGCGGAGGA